AACGAACGCUGGCGGCAGGCUUAACACAUGCAAGUCGAACGCCCCGCAAGGGGCGUGGCGGGCGGGUGAGUAACGCGUGGGAACAUACCCUUUUCUACGGAAUAGCUCUGGGAAACUGGAAUUAAUACCGUAUACGCCCUACGGGGGAAAGAUUUAUCGGGGAAGGAUUGGCCCGCGUUGGAUUAGCUAGUUGGUGGGGUAAAGGCCUACCAAGGCGACGAUCCAUAGCUGGUCUGAGAGGAUGAUCAGCCACAUUGGGACUGAGACACGGCCCAAACUCCUACGGGAGGCAGCAGUGGGGAAUAUUGGACAAUGGGCGCAAGCCUGAUCCAGCCAUGCCGCGUGAGUGAUGAAGGCCUUAGGGUUGUAAAGCUCUUUCACCGAUGAAGAUAAUGACGGUAGUCGGAGAAGAAGCCCCGGCUAACUUCGUG
rnacentral:rRNA from 1 species